GACAUGUGUCCUCUGAGCCUGUCUCUUUCGCUGCCUCUCAGUACGCUCACGAGCACAUAGAAAAUACUGCCCAGCUGCCGUGGAUAUGGAUUUAUGUCUUACAUCUCUGCUCGUUAAAACUAUCUUUUGUGGAGAGGGUGGGGGGAACUGACUGUACACCUCCACUGACUGCCCGGUGCAUCAGGAUUUGUGGCCUGUGUCCUAGAUCUGAAACUCGCAGUGAAGGCGGGGAAGGCCGACAGCUGUGGUGGACUCAGCUUGCGCAGUAAGGCAUGGCGCACAGUCCCCCGGGAAGCUCUCCUUCGGCCCAGUCCAGGGCCGUUGGCUUGACGAGCGAAGGGCUUCAGACGUAAGUUCAGGAGCUUCGAUCGCAGACGGACAGUCGGAAAAAACGGAAAAGACUGACACGGGAAGGUCAUGUGACUUUAUGGCACAAUCGCUCGGCGGGCCCUCCAAUCCAGAGCGACGUACGAUGGGGAACAGAGGGCCCAGGAUGCGAAAGGCGAAGGCGUACAAGGGAAGAAAAAUGAAACCUGUUAAACAGAAAAAGAAAACAGGAAGUACAAGAGAAAGGGAAUUAAGAUGUAAGAUGGAGAGUGAGAAAGAUAGAGAGAGAUGGGGGUGUCCAUCUCCUGUUUUGGAUAGCAUUUGGCAGUUAGACAGACACAAUGGGUCUCUGUUGAAAAUGGGUUUCUCGGCUGGACAAUACACAAUAGGUCAUUAUGAGGCUCAAACCACAUUAGUGGUCACUAGGAACCCCCCCCCCCCCCCUUCUUUUUUACCACCCCACUAAAUGCACUCGCUCUCCAAUAAAGCCUAUAGCCCAGGGGUUGGAGUUGGAAAAUGAGACACCACUCCCCAACCCACUCCCCCAACUUUUUUUUUCUUUUUUCUUGCCAGAUAUGCCCACCACUUCUGAGGAAAGGUCGCCAGGUCAGACGGCUGCCUUUUUUUUUUUUUCGUUGUCGGAAUGCGCCGGUAUAGGAAUUCCAGAGGAGGAGUUUUUCGAUUUGGGCGGAGAAAGAUGGCGAUAAGGAACAAAUGAGGGGAAGUGACUCAUUAGAGGACAAAGAGGGAGGCUUUAAUUCGAUUGCUGUGAGGAGGGCUCGGUGAUUUCAUUAUGUGUGUGUGUGGGGGGGGGGGGGGGGGUCUAGGAAUGGGAAGAAGGAUUUCCCCUGGGAUGUUCUGAUUAAUACACUGUGAUUGGCUCAAUACCGUUCCCAUGCCAGCAAUUGGUUAAAAGUUUGUCUGAGCUAUAAAGUGCACUUCUACACUGCCUGCCCCACCGACUUAUCAACCAAGACACUCACAGACCAGCACCCACACUGUGAUGGUGCUGUUGCCACAGACUGGCACAGCAACUGACAUAGGCCCAUGUUUACUGACUCUCCAGCUGAUACGUGGAUUCAAUGACUUAAAUCUGUAUUGACUGAGUGUAACAAGGACUGGCCAAACAACCAACUGCCUCAUGGACUUGUUUGUCUUCUACACCUCUUUCAAACUCAUGCAUAUGCUUGCAUACGUACAUUGACCAAUACAUGUAAUUAUGUCUCAUUCAUUGUUGGGUUGAUCCCUUAAAUUAAUGUAUAGCCAAAUGUACAGUAUGGCUGCGAUAUUUGUGUGACUGACAAACUAUUGAAUAAUUGUAGACCAAUAAUUUACAUGCAGCCAAACUCAGGCAAAUGACUUGUAUGUAUCUUAUAGCGUGUUCUUGGCUGAU